AAGCUUGCUUUUGAUGGGCGUCGACCGGCGCACGGGUGAGUAACGCGUAUCCAACCUGCCCACCACUUGGGGAUAACCUUGCGAAAGUAAGACUAAUACCCAAUGACGUCUCUAGAGGACAUCUGAAAGGGAUUAAAGAUUUAUCGGUGAUGGAUGGGGAUGCGUCUGAUUAGCUUGUUGGCGGGGUAACGGCCCACCAAGGCGACGAUCAGUAGGGGUUCUGAGAGGAAGGUCCCCCACAUUGGAACUGAGACACGGUCCAAACUCCUACGGGAGGCAGCAGUGAGGAAUAUUGGUCAAUGGACGAGAGUCCGAACCAGCCAAGUAGCGUGCAGGAUGACGGCCCUAUGGGUUGUAAACUGCUUUUAUAAGGGAAUAAAGUGAGUCUCGUGAGACUUUUUGCAUGUACCUUAUGAAUAAGGACCGGCUAAUUCCGUGCCAGCAGCCGCGGUAAUACGGAAGGUCCGGGUGUUAUCCGGAUUUAUUGGGUUUAAAGGGAGCGUAGGCCGGAGAUUAAGCGUGUUGUGAAAUGUAGAUGCUCAACAUCUGCACUGCAGCGCGAACUGGUUUCCUUGAGUACGCACAAAGUGGGCGGAAUUCGUGGUGUAGCGGUGAAAUGCUUAGAUAUCACGAAGAACUCCGAUUGCGAAGGCAGCUCACUGGAGCGCAACUGACGCUGAAGCUCGAAAGUGCGGGUAUCGAACAGGAUUAGAUACCCUGGUAGUCCGCACGGUAAACGAUGGAUGCCCGCUGUUGGUCUGAAUAGGUCAGCGGCCAAG
rnacentral:rRNA from 1 species